AACUAGAGAGGCAUUUCUUAACCAAACAGGGGAUAAAGGAAAUCAUAAUAAGUUAAAUAGAUCAUUUUUAUUGUAGUACAUGAAAUUGAAAAGCCCUUGCGUGGAGAAAAUCCGUGCAGUUAAGCUAUAAAGGGAAACUAUUGAUGGAGAAAAAAAACCAAAUAUUUUCUGGUAAGGGACUAAUAUAUUCAAGGUAACCAGCACAAAUAUAUAAAACCAAGAGUCAGUAGACAAGUGGUAAAGAAUAUGAAUAAACAGUCUCAAAAAAAGAAUUCCCAACUAGUACCAAACACAAAAAAUUGUACCAAAUUGCUAUUAAUGAGAAAAAUGUAAAUUAAAGCCACUCUUAUGUUUCACUUCCCAGAAAACUGAUAAAGAUGAGAAAAGAUAGAAAUAACUAAUGUUGGAGGGACACCCUAAUUCACUGUGGGCUGAGCUGUAAACUGAUCAAACCAUUCAGGAAAACAAUGUGGAAUUGCACUUACAAAGUGAUUAAAAUGUCCAUACCUGUUGAUUUAGAGAUCCUUGCACAGAAGUGGGUCUUGAAGCCAAGAGCUGAUAAGGACAAUAAUGAUGGAGGUGUGAAAUCAGGAUUGUAUUUUCCCUCUCCUUGGUAAUUUCGAUUUAUAAAUUAUUGGCUUGAAUCUCUUUAUAAUAAAGAAAGUUUCAAAAAAUCAA